rnacentral:tRNA from 1 species
GGCUGCGUAGCUCAGUGGUAGAGCGCCCGGGUUUCUUCUCCCUAGAAAAAUUCCGCUUCCGCUUCCGCAGACCUAGAACCUAGAUCAUCCUCUCUUCCCCGGGAGGUCGGUGGUUCGAUUCCACCCGCAGCCA